GCGCGAAACCUCCUCAAUGCACUAACGUGCGAAGGGGUUACCUCGAGUGCUGCCUGAAGAAGGUGGCUUUUCCUUGGUCUAAAGAGCCUUUGGGAAUAAGAGGGGGGCAAGACUGGUGUCAGCCGCCGCGGUAACACCAGCUCCUCGAGUGGUGGGGAUGAUUAUUUGGCCUAAAGCGUCCGUAGCCUGCCGGGUAAGUCUCCCGUUAAAUCCAGCGUCUCAAGCGUUGGACUGCGGGAGAUACUGUCUGGCUAGAGAGUGGGAGAGGUGUACGGUAUUCUGGGGGUAGGGGCGAAAUCCAUUGAUCCCCGGAGGACCACCAGUGGCGAAGGCUGUGCACUAGAACACGUCUGACGGUCAGGGACGAAAGCUGGGGUAGCGAACCGGAUUAGAUACCCGGGUAGUCCCAGCUGUAAACGAUGCACGCUAGGUGUUGGGUCGCCACGAGCCGCCCAGUCGCCGCAGGGAAGCCGUUAAGCGUGCCGCCGUGGGGACGUCGGCCGCAAGGCUAGAAACUUAAGGAAGUUGGGCGGGGGA
rnacentral:rRNA from 1 species